rnacentral:rRNA from 1 species
AGAGUUUGAUCAUGGCUCAGAACGAACGCUGGCGGCAGGCUUAACACAUGCAAGUCGAGCGCCGUAGCAAUACGGAGCGGCGGACGGGUGCGUAACGCGUGGGAACAUGCCCUUUGGUUCGGAAUAACCCAGGGAAACUUGGGCUAAUGCCGGAUAAGCCCCGGAAACGGGGGAAAGAUUUAUUGCCGAAGGAUUGGCCC